rnacentral:rRNA from 1 species
UACGAAGGGGGCUAGCGUUGUUCGGAAUCACUGGGCGUAAAGCGCACGUAGGCGGAUUGUUAAGUCGGGGGUGAAAUCCUGAGGCUCAACCUCAGAACUGCCUUCGAUACUGGCAAUCUCGAGUCCGGUAGAGGAAGGUGGAAUUCCCGGUGUAGCGGUGAAAUGCGUAGAGAUCGGGAGGAACAUCAGUGGCGAAGGCGGCUGCCUGGGGUAUUGCUGACGCUGAGGAACGAAGGCCAGGGGAGCGAACGGG